rnacentral:rRNA from 1 species
UCUGGCAUCAGUGAGGCAGAGGAGUCAUUACUGAGUUUACGCUCUACAACCCUUUGUGAACAUACCUACAACUGUUGCUUCGGCGGGUAGGGUCUCCGCGACCCUCCCGGCCUCCCGCCUCCGGGCGGGUCGGCGCCCGCCGGAGGAUAACCAAACUCUGAUUUAACGACGUUUCUUCUGAGUGGUACAAGCAAAUAAUCAAAACUUUUAACAACGGAUCUCUUGGUUCUGGCAUCGAUGAAGAACGCAGCGAAAUGCGAUAAGUAAUGUGAAUUGCAGAAUUCAGUGAAUCAUCGAAUCUUUGAACGCACAUUGCGCCCGCCAGCAUUCUGGCGGGCAUGCCUGUUCGAGCGUCAUUUCAACCCUCAAGCUCUGCUUGGUGUUGGGGCCCUACAGCCGAUGUAGGCCCUCAAAGGUAGUGGCGGACCCCCCCGGAGCCUCCUUUGCGUAGUAACUUUACGUCUCGCACUGGGAUCCGGAGGGACUCUUGCCGUAAAACCCCCCAAUUUUCCAAAGGUUGACCUCGGAUCAGGUAGGAAUACCCGCUGAACUUAAGCAUAUCAAUAAGCGGAGGA